GGCUGGAGGCUCCCUUCAUAGAAUUCCACCUGCCUGGUAAAUGCAGAAUGCAGUCCACUUAAAGAAAUCAGAGCAGCUGCCACACUCUGAGAAGCAGCUCUGAGGUUGUGAACAUUGAAUGUAGAUAAUUAUCCAGCUGAUGUGGUCAGGAGGAAAUUGAAUAAAGCCUUUUAAUCAGCCACAGUAGUAUUUGAAUCAUUUAAUUUAGAAUCUGACAACCACAAAUUACUUUAUUUUUCUGGCCAAUUUUAGCCAACCAGGAGA
rnacentral:lncRNA from 1 species